rnacentral:rRNA from 1 species
AUAAUAAUUAGGUUUUUAAUUGAAAUCUAGAAUGAAUGAUUGGACGAGAUACAGGCUGUUUUAUAAUAAUUAAUUAAAAUUUAAUUUUUUAGUCAAAAAGCUAAAAUUUUAUUAAAAGACGAGAAGACCCUAUAAAUCUUUAUAAUAAAUUUAUUUUAAUGAAUUAUUUUAUUUAAAUUAAUAGUUUUAAUAAUAAAUUAUUUUAUUGGGGUGAUACAAAAAUUUAAUUAACUUUUUUAUUUAUAUUACUUAAAUUAAAGAUUUAUAAAAAUUUGAUCUACUAUUAGUAAUUCAGAGAGUAAGAUACUUUAGGGAUAACAGCGUAAUUUUAAUUUUAAGUUCUCAUUAAAAUUAAAGAUUGC